rnacentral:misc_RNA from 1 species
GAUGAAGAACGCAGCGAAAUGCGAUAAUUAAUGUGAAUUGCAGAAUUUAGUGAAUCAUCGAAUCUUUGAACGCACAUUGCGCCCGCGAGUAUUCUCGCGGGCAUGCCUGUCCGAGCGUCAUUUCAACCCUCAGGGCCCGCCUGCUUGCAGGCGCGGCGCUGGUGUUGGGGAUCGGCUACCCUGCCGUCCCCCAAAUACAGUGGCGGUCUCGCUGCAGCCUCCCCUGCGUAGUAGCAACACUCGCAUGCGGAGCGCGGCGCGGCCACGCCGUAAAACCCCCGACUUUCUGAACGUUGACCUCGGAUCAGGUAGGAAUACCCGCUGAACUUAAGCAUAUCAAUAAGCGGAGGA